ensembl:lncRNA
AGUCACUCAAGAGACAUGCCCUUUGGUUGCACAAGCAUAAUGACUUGUGUUAAUUAUAGUAUAAAAAAAUGUGAGUUGUUGGGGAGAAGACAUUAACUUGACUCCUGAUCACACAGUCAGGUUCCAGCAUCUUGUUCUUGAAGAGACUGUCCCCAUGGCGACGAUGUUGACUGUCCUUAUCCUACUCAUCAUUGCCUUUGCAUACCUGUCCUUUUCAGGUAACAGGACCCUGGAACCCUCAUCAUCUGGAACCGAGGAGCCGUCCUUCUCAGGUGACAGGACCCUGGAACCCUCAUCAUCUGGAACCGAGGAGCCGUCCUUCUCAGGUGACAGGACCCUGGAACCACCAUCAUCUGGAACCGAGGAGCCGUCCUUCUCAGGUGAUAGGACCCUGGAACCACCAUCAUCUGGAACCGAGGAGCCGUCCUUCUCAGGUAACAGAACCCUGGAACCUCCAUCAUCUGGAACCGAGGAGCCAUCCUACUCGGGUGACAGGACCCUGGAACCCCCAUCAUCUGGAACCGAGGAGCCAUCCUACUCUGGUGACAGGACCCUGGAACCUCCAUCAUCUGGAACCGAGGAGCCGUCCUUCUCAGGUGAUAGGACCCUGGAACCCCCAUCAUCUGGAACCGAGGAGCCAUCCUACUCUGGUGACAGGACCCUGGAACCUUCAUCAUCUGGAACCAAGGAGCCGUCCUUCUCAGGUAACAGGACCCUGGAACCACCAUCAUCUGGAACAGAGGAGCCGUCUUUCUCAGGUGACAGGACCCUGGAACCCCCAUCAUCUGGAACCGUGGAGCCGUCCUUCUCAGGUAACAGGACCCUGGAACCCCCAUCAUCUGGAACCGAGGAGCCGUCUUUCUCAGGUGACAGGACCCUGGAACCACCAUCAUCUGGAACCGUGGAGCCGUCUUUCUCAGGUGACAGGACCCUGGAACCCCCAUCAUCUGGAACAGAGGAGCCGUCCUCCGGAGUGUGAGAAGAUCAUGAACAGCAACGGGAGAGUUGAUAAUAUUGAUUACCAUGAUAUUGACCAGGGUAUAUUUUUUUACAUGGAUAUUGCAGUGUCAUUUCAGACACAGCCUGAGAGGGAAAAGUACAGCAAUUGUUUGUCAGAUUUAUUUAGCAUAAUUGUUAACUUUUCUGCUAUCCUGUCUAGUAACUUUCCAUAACUAUGUAGACAGUAAAGCCUUAUAUGCUGUAGUGUGUCUUUCACUGAAGCUUUCCUAUCCUCUGUGCUGACUGUCAUUAGCAGACCUGGGCUCAAACAUACUAUCUGAAAUCUUCCAAAUACUUUGAGUGUUUUAUCUAGCCUGUCUGAAGUGCUGGAUGGGCAGUGUUUGCAGUUUUGGGACAAUUGUAUUGGUCAAUUUUACCAUGCAGGCUCAUUCAAGCACAGAUUAAGUAUUUGGAAUGAUUUCAAAUAGUAUUUUAACCAGGUCUGGACAUAAGAAAAUAUUACAUAACAUAUACAUGUAAGAUCCUGUUUUUGUUAUUUUAUCCCCCUCUACUUUACACAGGGCAGGAGGCCUUCCAGGCUUCUGGUCUAUCAGAUGUCAAAGACCUCUGUAGUACCACUUCAUACAGAGUUUGACUCUUUCUAUCUUCUGUUUCAUCAUCUAAACCCUGUGUCCCAUCAUGUAGUUGUUUUGGAGGCAUUCUGUCAUGGAAUAAAUCUAUAUGAUCAAGAUCAUCUUGUCCUAGUUGCAAGGUCCCUCCUGGGAAGGUGGGUGGGGUCAUUUCUUUUUCUUUGCAAUUUUCUCUCUUUGCAAUUCUGUCACUAUUGUGAAAGUUGUUUUAGACUUAAAGCAUAUAGCCCAAUUGACAAGUACUUCAUGACUGUGCCACCAGUGGACGCUGCUAAGGGGAGGACGGCUCAUAAUAAUGGCUGGAAUGGAGUCAAUGGAACGCUAUCAAACGUGGUUUCCAUGUGGUUGAUACCAUUCCAAUGACUCCAUUCCAGGCAUUACUAUGAGCCGUCCUCCCCACAGCAGCCUCCACUGUGUGCCCACAUUGUAAUUGAUAUACAGUAUGUUUGCCAAGGUUAUACAGUGUAAGAUUAAGUAGUGUAUGGUUCCAACUUGUAUAGAUCACGGUAACAUAUAAUGUACUAACAAUAUCAAUAUUAUGUUUGCGUUUUCUCUAGGCAAUGUUAUUGUACUGUACUUCUUCAUAUUGCACUCGGUGAACCAGAACUGUGUGUGUGCGUGUGUAUGCAUAUGUAUUGCUUGAUUAGGACAAGCAAUACAAACGCAAAAGUGUUUACUUCUCUUGAGACGAGUAUGAUGAAGAGAGGAAAAAAAGAGUUGUCGAGUUGCAUAAACGCCCAGGCUUUGGGGAAGUGUUGCUACUAUUAAAUAAAGAAGAGAUG